UUUCCGUAGGUGAACCUGCGGAAGGAUCAUUCACAAUUAAUUGUAUACAGGCUCUUUCUAUAAAUCCAUCUCCACCCCGAGUGCAAUGUUAGAUACCGUCAAUCUUUGCGAGUUUAUGAUAUAUAAACUUAUACUUUAACAAAUUAGUCUGAAAAACAACAUGUAUACAUAAUUCAAUAUACAAUUUCCAACAACGGAAAUCUUGCAUAUCGCAACGAUGAAGAACGCAGCAGAACGCAAGAGAACACGUCUGAACUCCCGUCACCAGUCGUCAACUAG
rnacentral:misc_RNA from 1 species